rnacentral:rRNA from 1 species
GACGAACGCUGGCGGCGUGCUUAACACAUGCAAGUCGAACGGUAAGGCCCUUCGGGGUACACGAGUGGCGAACGGGUGAGUAACACGUGGGUGAUCUGCCCUGCACUUCGGGAUAAGCCUGGGAAACUGGGUCUAAUACCGGAUAGGACUCCGGACUGCAUGGUCUGGGGUGGAAAGCUUCUGCGGUGUGGGAUGGGCCCGCGGCCUAUCAGCUUGUUGGUGGGGUGAUGGCCUACCAAGGCGACGACGGGUAGCCGGCCUGAGAGGGUGACCGGCCAGAAUGGGACUGAGCUACGGCCCAGACUCCUACGGGAGGCAGCAGUGGGGAAUAUUGCACAAUGGGCGCAAGCCUGAUGCAGCGACGCCGCGUGAGGGAUGACGGCCUUCGGGUUGUAAACCUCUUUCAGCAUCGACGAAGCGAAAGUGACGGUAGGUGCAGAAGAAGGACCGGCCAACUACGUGCCAGCAGCCGCGGUAA